rnacentral:tRNA from 2 species
GCCGAAGUAGCUCAGUUGGUAGAGCACCUCGCUGUUACUACGAGGUUGUCCCAGGUUCGAGUCCUGGCUUUGGCG